rnacentral:rRNA from 1 species
GAGAUCAAAGAAGUUCGCGCGGGCGACAUCGCUGCUGCUAUCGGUCUGAAAGACGUAACCACUGGUGACACCCUGUGUGACCCGGAUGCGCCGAUCAUUCUGGAACGUAUGGAAUUCCCUGAGCCGGUAAUCUCCAUCGCAGUUGAACCGAAAACCAAAGCUGACCAGGAAAAAAUGGGUCUGGCUCUGGGCCGUCUGGCUAAAGAAGACCCGUCUUUCCGUGUAUGGACUGACGAAGAAUCUAACCAGACCAUCAUCGCGGGUAUGGGCGAACUGCACCUCGACAUCAUCGUUGACCGUAUGAAGCGUGAAUUCAACGUUGAAGCGAACGUAGGUAAACCGCAGGUUGCUUACCGUGAAACUAUCCGCCAGAAAGUUACCGAUGUUGAAGGUAAACACGCGAAACAGUCUGGUGGUCGUGGUCAGUAUGGUCAUGUUGUUAUCGACAUGUACCCGCUGGAGCCGGGUUCAAACCCGAAAGGCUACGAGUUCAUCAACGACAUUAAAGGUGGUGUAAUCCCUGGCGAAUACAUCCCGGCCGUUGAUAAAGGUAUCCAGGAACAGCUGAAAGCAGGUCCGCUGGCAGGCUACCCGGUAGUAGACAUGGGUAUUCGUCUGCACUUCGGUUCUUACCAUGACGUUGACUCCUCUGAACUGGCGUUUAAACUGGCUGCUUCUAUCGCCUUUAAAGAAGGCUUUAAGAAAGCGAAACCAGUUCUGCUUGAGCCGAUCAUGAAGGUUGAAGUAGAAACUCCGGAAGAGAACACCGGUGACGUUAUCGGUGACUUGAGCCGUCGUCGUGGUAUGCUCAAAGGUCAGGAAUCUGAAGUUACUGGCGUUAAGAUCCACGCUGAAGUACCGCUGUCUGAAAUGUUCGGAUACGCAACUCAGCUGCGUUCUCUGACCAAAGGUCGUGCAUCAUACACUAUGGAAUUCCUGAAGUAUGAUGAAGCGCCGAGUAACGUUGCUCAGGCCGUAAUUGAAGCCCGUGGUAAAUAAGCCUAAGGGUUAAUACCAAAGUCCCGUGCUCUCUCCUGAAGGGGAGAGCACUAUAGUAAGGAAUAUAGCCGUGUCUAAAGAAAAAUUUGAACGUACAAAACCGCACGUUAACGUUGGUACUAUCGGCCACGUUGACCACGGUAAAACUACUCUGACCGCUGCAAUCACCACCGUACUGGCUAAAACCUACGGCGGUGCUGCUCGUGCAUUCGACCAGAUCGAUAACGCGCCGGAAGAAAAAGCUCGUGGUAUCACCAUCAACACUUCUCACGUUGAAUAUGACACCCCGACCCGUCACUACGCACACGUAGACUGCCCGGGGCACGCCGACUAUGUUAAAAACAUGAUCACCGGUGCUGCUCAGAUGGACGGCGCGAUCCUGGUAGUUGCUGCGACUGACGGCCCGAUGCCGCAGACUCGUGAGCACAUCCUGCUGGGUCGUCAGGUAGGCGUUCCGUACAUCAUCGUGUUCCUGAACAAAUGCGACAUGGUUGAUGACGAAGAGCUGCUGGAACUGGUUGAAAUGGAAGUUCGUGAACUUCUGUCUCAGUACGACUUCCCGGGCGACGACACUCCGAUCGUUCGUGGUUCUGCUCUGAAAGCGCUGGAAGGCGACGCAGAGUGGGAAGCGAAAAUCCUGGAACUGGCUGGCUUCCUGGAUUCUUACAUUCCGGAACCAGAGCGUGCGAUUGACAAGCCGUUCCUGCUGCCGAUCGAAGACGUAUUCUCCAUCUCCGGUCGUGGUACCGUUGUUACCGGUCGUGUAGAACGCGGUAUCAUCAAAGUUGGUGAAGAAGUUGAAAUCGUUGGUAUCAAAGAGACUCAGAAGUCUACCUGUACUGGCGUUGAAAUGUUCCGCAAACUGCUGGACGAAGGCCGUGCUGGUGAGAACGUAGGUGUUCUGCUGCGUGGUAUCAAACGUGAAGAAAUCGAACGUGGUCAGGUACUGGCUAAGCCGGGCACCAUCAAGCCGCACACCAAGUUCGAAUCUGAAGUGUACAUUCUGUCCAAAGAUGAAGGNGCUGAAAUCAGUCGAAGAUACCAGCUGGCUGCAACUGUUUAUUAAAAACACAGCACUGUGCAAACACGAAAGUGGACGUAUACGGUGUGACGCCUGCCCGGUGCCGGAAGGUUAAUUGAUGGGGUCAGCGCAAGCGAAGCUCUUGAUCGAAGCCCCGGUAAACGGCGGCCGUAACUAUAACGGUCCUAAGGUAGCGAAAUUCCUUGUCGGGUAAGUUCCGACCUGCACGAAUGGCGUAAUGAUGGCCAGGCUGUCUCCACCCGAGACUCAGUGAAAUUGAACUCGCUGUGAAGAUGCAGUGUACCCGCGGCAAGACGGAAAGACCCCGUGAACCUUUACUAUAGCUUGACACUGAACAUUGAGCCUUGAUGUGUAGGAUAGGUGGGAGGCUUUGAAGUGUGGACGCCAGUCUGCAUGGAGCCGGCCUUGAAAUACCACCCUUUAAUGUUUGAUGUUCUAACGUGGACCCGUGAUCCGGGUUGCGGACAGUGUCUGGUGGGUAGUUUGACUGGGGCGGUCUCCUCCUAAAGAGUAACGGAGGAGCACGAAGGUUGGCUAAUCCUGGUCGGACAUCAGGAGGUUAGUGCAAUGGCAUAAGCCAGCUUGACUGCGAGCGUGACGGCGCGAGCAGGUGCGAAAGCAGGUCAUAGUGAUCCGGUGGUUCUGAAUGGAAGGGCCAUCGCUCAACGGAUAAAAGGUACUCCGGGGAUAACAGGCUGAUACCGCCCAAGAGUUCAUAUCGACGGCGGUGUUUGGCACCUCGAUGUCGGCUCAUCACAUCCUGGGGCUGAAGUAGGUCCCAAGGGUAUGGCUGUUCGCCAUUUAAAGUGGUACGCGAGCUGGGUUUAGAACGUCGUGAGACAGUUCGGUCCCUAUCUGCCGUGGGCGCUGGAGAACUGAGGGGGGCUGCUCCUAGUACGAGAGGACCGGAGUGGACGCAUCACUGGUGUUCGGGUUGUCAUGCCAAUGGCACUGCCCGGUAGCUAAAUGCGGAAGAGAUAAGUGCUGAAAGCAUCUAAGCACGAAACUUGCCCCGAGAUGAGUUCUCCCUGACCCUUUAAGGGUCCUGAAGGAACGUUGAAGACGACGACGUUGAUAGGCCGGGUGUGUAAGCGCAGCGAUGCGUUGAGCUAACCGGUACUAAUGAACCGUGAGGCUUAACCUU